rnacentral:hammerhead_ribozyme from 1 species
AGGCGAAACCGGCGCGCUUAUAGCGUGUCGGUCGUUCACGCGUUGUGGCGUGUUCCUGACGAUGCCAGCAUGUA